rnacentral:rRNA from 2 species
UUAGUGGCGAACGGGUGAGUAAUACGUGAGUAACCUACCUUUAACUCUGGGAUAAGCCUGGGAAACUGGGUCUAAUACCGGAUACGACCAAUCUCCGCAUGGGGUGUUGGUGGAAAGCGUUAUGUAGUGGUUAUAGAUGGGCUCACGGCCUAUCAGCUUGUUGGUGAGGUAACGGCUCACCAAGGCGACGACGGGUAGCCGGCCUGAGAGGGUGACCGGCCACACUGGGACUGAGACACGGCCCAGACUCCUACGGGAGGCAGCAGUGGGGAAUAUUGCACAAUGGGCGCAAGCCUGAUGCAGCGACGCCGCGUGAGGGAUGACGGCCUUCGGGUUGUAAACCUCUGUUAGCAGGGAAGAAGAGAGAUGACGGUACCUGCAGAGAAAGCGCCGGCUAACUACGUGCCAGCAGCCGCGGUAAUACGUAGGGCGCGAGCGUUGUCCGGAAUUAUUGGGCGUAAAGAGCUUGUAGGCGGUUUGUCGCGUCUGCUGUGAAAGGCCGGAGCUUAACUCCGUGUAUUGCAGUGGGUACGGGCAGACUAGAGUGCAGUAGGGGAGACUGGAAUUCCUGGUGUAGCGGUGGAAUGCGCAGAUAUCACGAGGAACACCGAUGGCGAAGGCAGGUCUCUGGGCUGUAACUGACGCUGAGAAGCGAAAGCAUGGGGAGCGAACAGGAUUAGAUACCCUGGUAGUCCAUGCCGUAAACGUUGGGCACUAGGUGUGGGGGACAUUCCACGUUUUCCGCGCCGUAGCUAACGCAUUAAGUGCCCCGCCUGGGGAGUACGGCCGCAAGGCUAAAACUCAAAGAAAUUGACGGGGGCCCGCACAAGCGGCGGAGCAUGCGGAUUAAUUCGAUGCAACGCGAAGAACCUUACCAAGGCUUGACAUAUACUGGACCGCAUCAGAGAUGGUGUUUCCCUUCGGGGCUGGUAUACAGGUGGUGCAUGGUUGUCGUCAGCUCGUGUCGUGAGAAUGUUGGGUUAAGUCCCGCAACGAGCGCAACCCUCGUUCUAUGUUGCCAGCACGUUAUGGUGGGGACUCAUAGGAGACUGCCGGGGUCAACUCGGAGGAAGGUGGGGAUGACGUCAAAUCAUCAU